rnacentral:rRNA from 1 species
GUAGGUGAACCUGCGGAGGGAUCAUUACAGAGUUCAUGCCCUUAUAGGGUAGAUCUCCCACCCUUUGUCUUAUAUACCUCUGUUGCUUUGGCAGGCCGAACUAUUAGUCUACCGGCUCUGCUGGUAAGCGCCUGCCAGAGGACCCCCCAACUCUGAGAGUUAGUGUCGUCUGAGUACUAUAUAAUAGUUAAAACUUUCAACAACGGAUCUCUUGGUUCUGGCAUCGAUGAAGAACGCAGCGAAAUGCGAUAAGUAAUGUGAAUUGCAGAAUUUAGUGAAUCAUCGAAUCUUUGAACGCACAUUGCGCCCCUUGGCAUUCCGAGGGGCAUGCCUGUUCGAGCGUCAUCACAACCCUCAAGCUCCGCUUGGUGUUGGGCAUCGCCAGUGUUGGUGUGCCUUAAAAUCAGUGGCGGUGCCAUCUGGCCCUCAGCAUAGUAGUAAUUCUCUUGCUAUAGGGACCCGGUAGGUGCCUGCCAUCAACCCACAGUUAUUAAGGUUGACCUCGGAUCAGGUAGGGAUACCCGCUGAACUUAAGCAUAUC